ACACGGUUUAUUUGUCUAGUGGCCAAGUGCAGCUCUUAUUAAGAGAACCUUUUGCCUAGCUUUUUGACAGUUUUUUCCGUUCACCUUCAACCCACCUGACUCCUGUUUUUCCUGUCUCCAGGACCCAUCUGCAUCCAGCUCUGCCACCUUCCUCACUCACCUGCCUGUUCACCACUGUCUGGAUCCCUCCCUCAGCACCCCAGGACUCCCAUCAGCUAUCCCUUUGCCCUGCACUGCUGUAACAAAACUUUGGGAAACAAGACCUGUCUAAAGUCGGCUUUUUGGGUUCAGUCGUAAUUCGUGACAAGUAAUGUUGCUGUCAGAGAUGUUGCCAGAGGAGCCAAGCAAGAAGAGACAGAAGGACCAUUUCAUGAACCACCAUGUGACUCGGUUGGGCAGUGAGACAGCAUGCACAGCACUGAGACCCUGAAGCCUCUAAAACAAGAAGUCCAACAUUUAUGUUUUUAUUUACGCCUGAGACAUAAAAAAAAGAGCUCCUGUUUGCUUUCCUACGAUCAGCUGUUCAGUCAACAUAGAAAAACAUACAUAUUUUGAAUUUCUUACUGUUUCCAGGGUCAUGAAUGAACAUCUUGCAUACAUUUUAUAUUUUCUCUCUGAGUUACGAGCGGUGGAAAGCGUUCCUCUUCUCCUGAAUCCUUGAUUCAACGUGUAACUAUCUUUAAAGGCCACACUCAUUUCCACCUACACACAUUUCAUGCCAUUAUCACUUCUUUGCUAAACACUUCUUACCACUCCACCUACACGCUACAACAAAUUUGGACCAUGACAUAUUUGAAUGAGCCACCAGAAAUAGUUGUUAACUUGUUUUGUAUUUUUGGUUGAGUUGGAACAAAACUAACAAAAUGGUGCUCACAUACUGAGAGUGUGUCUUGCAAUCAUUGCAAACUGUUACUGCUAGAGAAGUGUUGUCAGGA